UAUUGCUGAGAUUUUUUUUCCUCUGUUUUUUCACAAAUGGGGCACAUUUCCAGGUUCUCCUUAUUAAUAUAUGUGGAAAAGGGAAUGACCCAACUGAUUCUUGCCAUGAUUUUCCUUUCCCUGACAUCUCUGUUUAUGGUGUUGCUGUAUAUCUUUCCCUGCUGUUCAAAGGUCUGCAGCAUUUUAGGUACAAAGAUUACAGUCCAUGGGAAAUGCUCUCUGACAGCACCUUCAGCCUAGAAAUGGCAAUGAAAAAAAGAAAAAAAAAAAAAAAAAAGAUCUAAAAUAUUACACAUUCCUCUGCUCUGCAAUACUCAUUGGAAUUUAUGAGUUUAUGGCCGUCUUGCACCUAAAGUCAACACAUUAAAUUUGCUCUGUUGCAAUUUCCCCCAAGCAAUUUCUCCCUGCCUCUCCCUUGCGUGCAUUCGUUGCAGGAAAGGGUAGAAGAGGAGAGGCAGAAAGUCGUGGCCGAAAUCAAGGAGCUGCACCAGUUUGUGGAGCGACAGGAGCAGCUCCUCCUGGGCCAGCUAGCCAAGCUGGACCAGGAGAUCGUGAGGAGGCAGGAGGAGAACAUCGCCAAGAUCUUGGAGGAGAUCUCCUCCGUGGGUGAGCAGAUCCGUGAGCUGGAAGAGAAGUGUCAGCAGCCAGCAUAUGAACUCCUACAGGCUUGAGAAAGAGUGCGCCCAGAAGCCAUUGGAGGCAUCGCCUGAGCUGGCCGAGAUGCCCACAAGUCUUCCCCAGAAGAACAUUGCCCUCAAGGAGAUGCUGAUGAAAUUUCAAGGUAGAGAGAAACCGGGGAGGAGAGGGCUGGAGGUUGCACCUGGGUCUGGAUUUCAGGAAGAUCUCAGCAGAGGAGAAGUCCUGGUGCAAUGUGGCAAAGAGAAACCUCCAACAUGCCCCGUGUAUUAGCAUAGCAAGGUGCAAUUAACUCUGGCUGAUUGCGUGAGGGAGGAUGAGUUUGCCUCCUGGCAGGACUUGGGGAGCCAGGUCAGCACUGGGAUGCCUGCGGGAUGUCACGUAGAGUCCUGCUCAGCAGCAGCUCUAGGAACAAGGCGAACAUUGCAAACAUUUCCCUGUGGAGCUGCUGGGAACACUGGUGACCUUAAAACAAAAAAAAAAAAAAAAAAGGAAGGUCAAGGGACAAUG
rnacentral:lncRNA from 1 species